GUUCAGGACACAUAUGAAAAAAACAAAUGAAAACCCUAAAAAAUUCCACCUCUGUGGGCUAGAAUCUCAGACAAAUUAGAAGUCUGUAUAUGCAUGCUUGGUUGGGAAAAUUUGACCUCAUAACUCUUACAUUUCUCCUAAGUUAAUUUUUUUUCUAAUCCAAUAUUUAAGCUUCACAUGAUCCUAAUAAGAAUUGCAAUAGCUCUUUUUGAGGGAGACAGGAGGAAUGGGGAACCAGAUAGGAUGAUUAUAAAAUUCAUAUGGAAAAAUAAGCAUAAUCCUGCAAUUUGUUCCUUUUUACUCAAAUUAUGUUUAAAAAACGAUCCAUGUUGAUACACAUAGUCAUGCAUUGUUGUACAUGUUAUAUGAUAUUUUCCCACUGUGUGAAGACACUAAGUUAUUAGUUGGCCUGUGGUGGAUGAUAUUAAGAUGUUUCCUGGGUUGUGGUUGUGGAAUCUCCUUUUGAUCGGUAUGCGCGUGUGUGUGUGUGUAUAUGUGCGUGCGUGCAUGUGUGUAUAUGUGUGUGUGUGUGUGUGUGAGAGAGAGAGAGAGAGAGAGAGAGAGAGGCAGGUAGCUUCGGGCUCCUGUACCAUCUAGGGACUAAAAAUUCAGACCUACACAGUCCUACAUAGGACAGUCACUUGGGAUUUUUGAAUUCUUGCCGACAACUUAAAAUUUGCCUAGCAAUUUGCCUGAUGCUUCCCAGGGUUGAUGGAAAUGGGUCUUCUUGGCCCUCUAUGAGAGCUCUGUGCUUUCUCUGUGCACAGGCUGGAGGCCCCAGUGCUGUUCUGCGAGCAUUAAAAUCCCGGCCCCCAUGUCACUGGGUCCAAGCCCCCUGUGGGUCACCAUAGUAUACCAUAGUAUCUGUUUCUGCUUAUGGCUUUGGCUUCAAGGUCCCUUUUAUCUGACUUCUGGGACUUUCAGUUCUUUCCUUUAAGCUUGACUAUGCAUUUGUCAUCUCUAUGUUGUGCAUCACAGCAUUUCCACGGAGCUGUGGGUGGUGGGAAGCCCUUUUGUGUCAGCUCUGUUCGCCGCACUGCUGCAAGUCCAGGACUCUCGAUGGAUGCCCCGGACAUUCCAUCCUGUGUGAUCCCUCCAGCCACUCUUCCUAUACUGUAAAUCUGCAAAAGUGUCCCUGGUGGGGGCAGAAGCAUGCAGGUGACCUUUAGAACCUAUCUGAGGAGGACUGGUGUUUGAAGGCCAGAAUUGCCCCCCACUCCCGCCCCACCAGCUCAGGAAUGGACAGGGCCAGCCCCUCAUCCAAGGGAUCAGGACAAGCGACCCCUUUCCUACCAACAGGGACGAAGAAGUGAACUGCCCUGUCCGUGGUCACCCAACGAUUAGCGGAACCAGCAUCCCUGCCAGGCAGAGAGACCGAGGUGACGAUUGAGGCUAGAUUUCAACAUGGAGAGGAUUUGAACAUGGAACCACGGGAAGAGGAUGAUGUUAGGCUAAGGGGUCAGCCGAACCAAGGUGGAUAGCAGAUGACAGCAAUGGCCACCGUACAUUAAAAAGAGCUGACACUGGGAUGCCUGGGGGGCUCGGUGGUGGAGCGUCUGCCAUAGGGUUAAGGGCGUGAUCCUGGGGUCCUGGGAUCGAGUCCCCACAGGGAGCCUGCCUAUGUCCUUGCCCCUCUCUCUGUGUCCCUCAUGAAUGAAU
ensembl:lncRNA